rnacentral:rRNA from 1 species
GACGAACGCUGGCGGCGUGCCUAAUACAUGCAAGUGGGACGCAAGGGAACACACUGUGCUUGCACACCGUGUUUUCUUGAGUCGCGAACGGGUGAGUAACGCGUAGGUAACCUGCCUAUUAGCGGGGGAUAACUAUUGGAAACGAUAGCUAAUACCGCAUAAUAUUAAUUAUUGCAUGAUAAUUGAUUGAAAGAUGCAAGCGCACCACUAGUAGAUGGACCUGCGUUGUAUUAGCUAGUUGGUAAGGUAAGAGCUUACCAAGGCGAUGAUACAUAGCCGACCUGAGAGGGUGAUCGGCCACACUGGGACUGAGACACGGCCCAGACUCCUACGGGAGGCAGCAGUAGGGAAUCUUCGGCAAUGGACGAAAGUCUGACCGAGC